rnacentral:rRNA from 1 species
AGUGAACGCUGGCGGUAGGCCUAACACAUGCAAGUCGAACGGCAGCACAGUAAGAGUUUGCUCUUACGGGUGGCGAGUGGCGGACGGGUGAGGAAUACAUCGGAAUCUACUUUUUCGGGGGGGAUAACGUAGGGAAACUUACGCUAAUACCGCAUACGACCUACGGGUGAAAGCAGGGGAUAUUCGGACCUUGCGCGAUUGAAUGAGACGAUGUCGGAUUAGCUAGUUGGCGGGGUAAAGGCCCACCAAGGCGACGAUCCGUAGCUGGUCUGAGAGGAUGAUCGGCCACACUGGAACUGAGACACGGUCCAGACUCCUACGGGAGGCAGCAGUGGGGAAUAUUGGACAAAGGGCGCAAGCCUGAUCCAGCCAUACCGCGUGGGUGAAGAAGGCCUUCGGGUUGUAAAACCCUUUUGUUAGGAAAGAAAAGCAGCAGGUUAAUACCCCGCUGUUCUGACGGUACCCAAAGAAUAAGCACCGGCUAACUUCGUG